CGCACAUUGCACCCUCUGGUAUUCCAGAGGGUAUGCCUGUUUGAGCGUCAUUUCUCUCUCAAUCUCACAAGGAUUGGUAUUGAGUGAUACUCUGCUUGCAGUGUUAACUUGAAAUAGUGUUUUUUUGUGGCCUGGAAGUGCUCUGUGUAGCCCUCCUGUCUGAGAUAAUGUAUUAGGUUCUACCAACUCGUUAUAGCAGCGGAGGAUGUCUCGCAGUGGUUCGUCUGCCCGAACAACCCCAUCUUAAAGUUUGACCUCAAAUCAGGUAGGACUACCCGCUGAACUUAA
rnacentral:misc_RNA from 1 species